CCUACGGGGGACAGCAGUGAGGAAUAUUGGUCAAUGGACGAGAGUCUGAACCAGCCACGUAGCGUGAAGGAUGACUGCCCUAUGGGUUGUAAACUUCUUUUAUAAAGGAAUAAAACGAGGCACGUGUGCCUUUUUGCAUGUCCUUUAUGAAUAAGGAUCGGCUAACUCCGUGCCAGCAGCCGCGGUAAUACGGAGGAUCCGAGCGUUAUCCGGAUUUAUUGGGUUUAAAGGGAGCGUAGAUGGGUUGUUAAGUCAGUUGUGAAAGUUUGCGGCUCAACCGUAAAAUUGCAAUGGAUACUGGGAGUCUUGAGUACAGGUGAGGUAGGCGGAAUUCGUGGUGUAGCGGUGAAAUGCUUAGAUAUCACGAAGAACCCCGAUUGCGAAGGCAGCUUACUAAACUGUGACUGACAUUGAUGCUCGAAAGUGUGGGUAUCAAACAGGAUUAGAUACCCGAGUAGUC
rnacentral:rRNA from 1 species